UGAAUUGCAGAAUUCAGUGAUCAUCGAGUCUUUGAACGCACCUUGCGCCCUUUGGUAUUCCGAAGGGCAUGCCUGUUUGAGUGUCAGUAAAUUCUCAACUCUCCUUGCUUUGUUGUCAAGGCUGAGGUUGGAUGGUGGAGGCUUGCCGGACGGUAAACGUUCGGCUCCUCUGAAAUGCAUUAGCGGUACAACCAUUACUUGGCUACGCUAAGCUGUGAUAAUAUCUAAGCUAGCUAGUUCAGAGUGUUGGCAGAGUUCGGGUUUUGAAGGGUUUUGCUUCGCGGCAAUCUCUUUGCGUUCGCUUGCUUCGGCAGGUGAUACAUAUGCGACUCUGUGCAAGCGUUGACAGCUUCUAACCCGUCUUUCAUUUCUCGAUGAAGGACACCUUACUGAUUAUUGACCUCAAAUCAGG
rnacentral:rRNA from 1 species